AGGUCUUGACAUUGAUGGACAGAACUAGAGAUAGUUCCUCUUCUUCGGAAGCCAGAAAACAGGUGGUGCACGGUUGUCGUCAGCUCGUGUCGUGAGAUGUUGGGUUAAGUCCCGCAACGAGCGCAACCCCUAUCUUAUGUUGCCAGCACUUCGGGUGGGAACUCAUGAGAGACUGCCGCAGACAAUGCGGAGGAAGGCGGGGAUGACGUCAAAUCAUCAUGCCCCUUAUGACCUGGGCUACACACGUACUACAAUGGGAGUUAAUAGACGGAAGCGAGAUCGCGAGAUGGAGCAAACCCGAGAAACACUCUCUCAGUUCGGAUCGUAGGCUGCAACUCGCCUACGUGAAGUCGGAAUCGCUAGUAAUCGCAGGUCAGCAUACUGCGGUGAAUACGUUCCCGGGCC
rnacentral:rRNA from 1 species